rnacentral:SRP_RNA from 1 species
CCAUACCAGCCGGGGAGUUAGCGGUGCCCUGUCACCUGCAAUCCGCUACAGCAGGGGUGGAGCCCUUCUCCGAGGGCACAAGUCGUGCGGCCGCGCCGCGCGGCAAAGCGAUGACGGACGGGUCCCGCGCAAUCGGCGGCUGUGAACCAUGUCAGGCGGGGAACCGAGCAGCAUUAAGCAGUUUCGUCCGAUGUGUUGCGGGGAUGCCUGUCCCGAGCCGAGCCUGCGGCUUCCGCGCAGGGCUUUUUGUUCGAGGGAAGGUGUAUGG